rnacentral:lncRNA from 12 species
UCUAGUGCUAUUGAAAUCUUUUUUAAAGAAAUUAACCAGAUGCAUGUGCUACUUUUUGUAAUAUUUUUGCAGGAUGUUACUUUUUAUAAUUUUUUUUGAAAAUGCCACACGAUAGAUGAAUUUGAACCAAUUCAUUUCCAGUCACUGCAGAAGGGCAGCUCUCUCACCAUUAGUCAGUCAGAUGGUCUCUUCCACUGGGUUGGACAAGAAAGAAACAGGUGGACAGUUGGCUUGUAUUGAUGCUCUUAAAGGAGUCAUAGAAAUCAGAGAAUAACCUGAAAGGCAUCUGAAUGAAGAGUGUCUCUCUCAGGUGACUGCCUGCUAGCCUUUGCUAGCACAACCAUGAGCAAGGGAGCUGCUGGCAGUCCCAGCUGUCCCUGGAAUGUCAUUGGGCUCUCGUGAUCAUCUAAAAGGCCUUUUUCUAGGCAGAUCAGCAACAGAGGAC